rnacentral:rRNA from 1 species
UACGAAGGGGGGCUAGCGUUGCUCGGAAUCACUGGGCGUAAAGCGCACGUAGGCGGAUUGUUAAGUCAGGGGUGAAAUCCUGGAGCUCAACUCCAGAACUGCCUUUGAUACUGGCGAUCUUGAGUCCGGAAGAGGUGAGUGGAACUCCUAGUGUAGAGGUGGAAUUCGUAGAUAUUAGGAAGAACACCAGUGGCGAAGGCGGCUCACUGGUCCGGUACUGACGCUGAGGUGCGAAAGCGUGGGGAGCAAACAGGG